rnacentral:rRNA from 1 species
AUACAGAGGGUGCAAGCGUUAAUCGGAAUUACUGGGCGUAAAGCGCGCGUAGGCGGUUUGUUAAGUUGGAUGUGAAAGCCCCGGGCUUAACCUGGGAGGGUCAUUCAAAACUGGCAGACUAGAGUGUGGUAGAGGGUAGUGGAAUUCCUAGUGUAGCGGUGAAAUGCGUAGAGAUUAGGAGGAACACCAGUGGCGAAGGCGACUGCCUGGACCAACACUGACGCUGAGGUGCGAAAGCGUGGGUAGCGAACAGGAUUAGAUACCCCGGUAGUCC